GUGGGGAAUCUUGCGCAAUGGGCGAAAGCCUGACGCAGCCAUGCCGCGUGAAUGAUGAAGGUCUUAGGAUUGUAAAAUUCUUUCACCGGGGACGAUAAUGACGGUACCCGGAGAAGAAGCUCCGGCUAACUUCGUGCCAGCAGCCGCGGUAAUACGAAGGGGGCUAGCGUUGCGCGGAAUUACUGGGCGUAAAGGGCGCGUAGGCGGACAGCUUAGUCAGAGGUGAAAGCCCAGGGCUCAACCUUGGAAUUGCCUUUGAUACUGGCUGUCUUGAGUUUGGGAGAGGUGAGUGGAACUCCGAGUGUAGAGGUGAAAUUCGUAGAUAUUCGGAAGAACACCAGUGGAGAAGGCGACUCACUGGCCCAAUACUGACGCUGAGGCGCGAAAGCGUGGCGAGCAAACAGGAUUAGAAACCCUAGGAGUCC
rnacentral:rRNA from 1 species